GGUGAACGCUGACAGAAUGCUUAACACAUGCAAGUCGACUCGAGUCCUCGGACUUGGGUGGCGCACGGGUGAGUAACGCGUAAGGAACUUGCCUCUUAGACCGGGACAACAUCUGGAAACGGAUGCUAAUACCGGAUAUUAUGGUUUUUCGCAUGGAGGAAUCAUGAAAGCUGGAUGCGCUAAGAGAGAGUUUUGCGUCCCAUUAGCUAGUUGGUGAGGUAACGGCCCACCAAGGCAAUGAUGGGUAGCCGGCCUGAGAGGGUGAACGGCCACAAGGGGACUGAGACACGGCCCUU
rnacentral:rRNA from 1 species